CACCCGCGCCUUCUCUUCUCCUCGCGUGCCCUAACUGGCGCCGCGACAGUUCCCUUCUCCUCGCAAUUUAAGCCGUGGUCGAGGGUUACAUCUCCUUCUUCUUCCCUUUCCUUCUCCACGCUGUCCUUAAGCCCUUCGUCCUCCACUCGACAGCGCCGUUUUUCUUCGCGUGCAAGCCCUCGGCCGAGGAAGCCCUAGCCCCGGCCAUUCAGUCCAUCUUUGCUGCGAGGCGCACACCCGACGCCUUCUUCUUCCUCUUUCCCCAAGCGCCGGCGACGAAUCUGCCACUGUCGGUCCACUGUCGCCCUUGUGUGCCGCCGCCGCCGCCGACUCUUGACCCGAGCAGCACCGGCCGCCUCCUCUCUGCUCUCUUCUGAUCCGGAGGGUUUUCUGUCGUGCCGACACAGAGCCACCACAGUGAACCCUGGGCUGAUUUCUACAGCCGACGCCGCUCGACGCCGCACCCCUCUUCCUCUUCUUCUCUCCGGCACCGAUUCCUCCAGGCCGAAGAUGUCGCGAGCCUAGCAUCGUCGAUUUUUCCUCCGACCCUCCAGGCCGAAGAUGCCGCGAGCCUAGCACCAAUCUAUCUCUCUGUUCAUCGGCAAGAACACACGGGUCCUGGCUUUGGGCAGCGCCACAAUGCCAGUUUUCAGAUAUCGAAUUCUUCUUCCUCUCAUUGAUCGGGAUUGGAGAUUAGGGAUUUCAAUCUGCUGCGGCUGAUCUUGGUUCAGCUGAGGGUUUAAAGGAGGAAGCUGUUAAGGACUUUGACACGAGACGAGUAUCUCGACGUCGGAUUUGGAC